rnacentral:rRNA from 1 species
CAAUUAUGGAGAGUUUGAUCCUGGCUCAGGAUGAACGCUGGCGGCGUGCCUAAUACAUGCAAGUCGAACGCGCGAAUCAGGAGCUUGCUCCUGUGACGCGAGUGGCGGACGGGUGAGUAACACGUAGGCAACCUGCCCAUCAGACUGGGAUAACCACGGGAAACCGUGGCUAAUACCGGAUAACCCUUUUCCACACAGGUGGAAAAGUUGAAAGGCGGCUUCGGCUGUCACUGAUGGAUGGGCCUGCGGCGCAUUAGCUGGUUGGUGGGGUAACGGCCCACCAAGGCGACGAUGCGUA